UGCAUCGAAGCGGCUUCCUUCACUUUCAAUCAGUUGUUGUUCCACGAGAUAAACGUUGGACAGCAAGACAUGGGUCCUGUGUUGCAUACUUAUUGGGAGGAAAAUGGGUGCCUUCGAUCGUCCCUUCCAUCACGGCGUCCUCACGGAUGCUCGGUUGGACCGGAUAGUGGGGCUCGUGUUCCACGAACGUCGUCUCAUUCGACCGUUCGGAUGGACCACGGGUGCCCACUCGUUCUCUCGGAUGCUGAAAUCUCUUGAUGGGCAUGGGGUCAUUGGCCCUUUGGUCCCUAAUCGUUAAGCGUUUAUCGCUUCACCGGAAUGACGAUCUCGCCUUGUCCUUGACCACGCGAAGCCCUCGGGCAUCGCGACGGAUCAUGCUCGGCGGACGUCGUGAAGGAAUGC
rnacentral:misc_RNA from 1 species